rnacentral:rRNA from 1 species
GACGAACGCUGGCGGCGUGCUUAACACAUGCAAGUCGAACGGAAAGGCCCCCUUGUGGGGUACUCGAGUGGCGAACGGGUGAGUAACACGUGAGUAACCUACCCUUGACUUUGGGAUAACUUCAGGAAACUGGGGCUAAUACCGGAUAGGAGCUCCUGCUGCAUGGUGGGGGUUGGAAAGUUUCGGCGGUUGGGGAUGGACUCGCGGCUUAUCAGCUUGUUGGUGGGGUAGUGGCUCACCAAGGCUUUGACGGGUAGCCGGCCUGAGAGGGUGACCGGCCACAUUGGGACUGAGAUACGGCCCAGACUCCUACGGGAGGCAGCAGUGGGGAAUAUUGCACAAUGGGCGGAAGCCUGAUGCAGCAACGCCGCGUGCGGGAUGACGGCCUUCGGGUUGUAAACCGCUUUCGCCUGUGACGAAGCGUGAGUGACGGUAAUGGGUAAGGAAGCACCGGCUAACUACGUG